rnacentral:lncRNA from 1 species
GGGCAAUGGCGGGCGCCCCUCCCCCAGCCUCGCUGCCGCCUUGCAGUUUGAUCUCAGACUGCUGUGCUAGCAAUCCGCGAGACUCCGUGGGGUAGGACCCUCCGAGCCAGGUGCGGCAUAUAAUCUCGUGGUGCGCCGUUUUUUAAGCCCGUGGGGAAAGCGCAGUGUUCUGGUGGGAGUGACCCGAUUUUCCAGGUGCCGUCCGUCACCCCUUUCUUUGACUAGGAAAGGGAACUCCCUGACCCUUGCUCUUCCCGAGUGAGGCAAUGCCUCGCCCUGCUUCGGCUCGCGCAGGGUGCGCGCACCCACUGACCUGCGCCCACUGUCUGGCACUCCCUAGUGAGAUGAACCCGGUACCUCAGAUGGAAAUGCAGAAAUCAACCAUCUUCUGUGUCGCUCACGCUGGGAGCUGUAGACCGGAGCUGUUCCUAUUUGGCCAUCUUGGCUCCUUCCUCAUCCUUAUUCAAUUCUUGAACGGUUCCACACAAAAAUAACUGAAGAUGGGCCUCCAGUCUUACGACGCCACAAAGUGCCCUGACACCACUGAACACGAAAACUCAUUGCAGAGGCUCCCAACUUGAACUUGCUAUCUACUGCUGGGAACAAGAUGUCUGGGCAUGUAUGGAGGAUCAGAAUGAUGGAUGAGCCACGAUCUGUUGGGAAAGUGGCUCCACAGUGUCUGGGGACGACGUGUCCCCCAGCAAACCAGCCUGUUAAGAACUUGGUCCAGGAACACCACUGUCAUGCCAUCAGGGUAAGGGCUUUGACGUCCAGGUGCUAGGUAGAGCCAGGACUGCAAGUUGAAAGGCUUUCACUCAAGGUCUCCUUCAGGAUUGGGAGCACAAGGCAACCUUGCUCUAUGACCAACAGAAAAGAGAAACCCAAAGGCUGCAGGGAAGCCCACCCCGGCAGCUACAGAGCACUUGCACCUGAAGUCUGUGAGUAGAAUUUCGGAGGUCUGCAAACUUAGAUGGGAAAAAUUAUAUUCAUAUUUUUACUAAUUGCAGCCUUAAAUUUGCAUUUCAUUCUAUUGUGACAUGGGAAACAAAUCUCAGUAUUAUAUGCAGUAUCUAUUUAUCUAUCUAUCUAUCUAUCACCUAUCAUGUAUCUAUCCAUCUCUAUCUAAUUAUCAUCUAUCUAUAUAUCUAUCUCUAAUCUAGUUUACCAUCUAUCAUGUAUUUAUCAUCUAUCUCUAAUCUAUCAUCUAAUCUAAUCUAAUCUAUCAUCUCUAUCAUUCAUCUAUCUAUAUUUUCUAUCUAUAUCCAUCCAUCCAUUUAUAUCUAUCAAUUAUCUGUCUAUUCUCAUCAUGUAUUUGUCUAUCCAUCUAUCUUUCUAAUCUAUCAUUUACCUAUCUAUCCAUCCAUUUACAUCUAUCUAUUUACCUAUAUGUCUAUCAAUCAAUCAAUUAUCUAUCUAUUCCCAUCAUGUAGCUAUCUAUCCAUCUAUCUCUCUAAUCUAUCUAUCAUCUUUCUAUAUCUAUCUCAAUCCAUCCAUCCAUCCAUCCAUUCAUCUAUAUCUAUCAUCUAUAUCUAUCUAUCAUCUAUAUCUAGCUAUCUAUCCUUCUAUCUCUCUAAUCUAUCUAUCAUCUUUCUAUAUCUAUCUCAAUCCAUCCAUCCAUCAAUCCAUUCAUCUAUAUCUAUCUAUCAUCUAUAUCUAUCUAUCAUCUAUAUCUAUCUAUCUAUCUGUAUCUCUCUAUCUAUCUAUUUAUCUUUAUGGUUUUAUUCCUAAUUGAAAACACAGGUGCAUCUCUAUCACAUUACAACAGUUAUAGAUACUUCAAAAUAUUUGCGUUCAUUGUUACUUUAAAGUUAUGGUAGAUAUGACACUCAAAGAAAGAUCUCCUAUAAUGUGUUAAUAAAGAUGCAUGGGUACC